UACGUAGGGGGCAAGCGUUGUCCGGAUUUAUUGGGCGUAAAGAGCGUGUAGGCGGUUUUACAGGUCCGCUGUGAAAACUCGAGGCUCAACCUCGAGCUGUCGGUGGAAACCGUAAAGCUAGAGUCCGGAAGAGGAGAGUGGAAUUCCUGGUGUAGCGGUGAAAUGCGCAGAUAUCAGGAAGAACACCCGUGGCGAAGGCGGCUCUCUGGGACGGUACUGACGCUGAGACGCGAAAGCGUGGGGAGCGAACAGG
rnacentral:rRNA from 1 species